rnacentral:ncRNA from 1 species
UACACCGCAGGACGUUGAAAUACGUCUAUUGAGUGGAAAUCGUACCGAUGCAGGCAGGGUCGAGUAAGUUAUUCCGAAAGACCUUGAGGUGAUAAGA